UACGUAGGGUGCAAGCGUGUCCGGAAUUAUUGGGCGUAAAGAGCUUGUAGGCGGUCUGUCGCGUCUGCUGUGAAAAUCCGGGGCUCAACCCCGGACUGCAGUCGAUACGGGCAGGCUAGAAUUCGGUAGGGGAGACUGGAAUUCCUGGUGUAGCGGUGAAAUGCGCAGAUAUCAGGAGGAACACCGGUGGCGAAGGCGGGUCUCUGGGCCGAUAUUGACGCUGAGGAGCGAAAGCGUGGGGGAGCGAACAGG
rnacentral:rRNA from 1 species